GCGUUGCUGCCCGGUUUCGUGAGGAACUCUAAUUCCCAGGGCCUAUAAACGAUUAUCUCGGGAGCUGUCCCUGCAUCAGACCCUGGUCUGGAGCACACGGCGCCCACCUACGCAAGUAGGGACCAGGGAUCGUAAUGUUCCCACGGCCAGGGCGGCGCGCC
rnacentral:other from 1 species